UGGGGAAUUUUUGGACAAUGGGCGCAAGCCUGAUCCAGCAAUGCCGCGUGCAGGAUGAAGGCCUUCGGGUUGUAAACUGCUUUUGUACGGAACGAAAAGCCCUGGGUUAAUACCCUGGGGUCAUGACGGUACCGUAAGAAUAAGCACCGGCUAACUACGUGCCAGCAGCCGCGGUAAUACGUAGGGUGCAAGCGUUAAUCGGAAUUACUGGGCGUAAAGCGUGCGCAGGCGGUUUUGUAAGACAGAGGUGAAAUCCCCGGGCUCAACCUGGGAACUGCCUUUUGUGACUGCAAGGCUAGAGUACGGCAGAGGGGGAUGGAAUUCCGCGUGUAGCAGUGAAAUGCGUAGAUAUGCGGAGGAACACCGAUGGCGAAGGCAAUCCCCGUGGGCCUGUACUGACGCUCAUGCACGAAAGCGUGGGGAGCAAACAGGAUUAGAUACCCUGGUUAGUCCACGCCCUAAACGAUGUCAACUGGUUGUUGGGUCUUUAACUGACUCAGUAACGAAGCUAACGCGUGAAGUUGACCGCCUGGGGAGUACGGCCGCAAGGUUGAAACUCAAA
rnacentral:rRNA from 1 species